GUCGUGAGGACGCACCUGGGCCAUCAGGAAAGGCUGAUACGAGCUCUUGGGAGAGUUUUCCAGGGAGCAAAGAUUUUUCCCAUCCUCGUCGCAGCGCACCUCCAGAUGGAGUCGCUUCUGACCGCCAUCCAGGAAGGUCCGGUUUGACUCUCCGCCGUCUGCCGUGAGGAAGACUUGCGCUGGGACUUGGUAGGGCGACUUGGAGGAGCGGACGUAGAUCCAAAGGGAGGACUGCAGCACCUGGAGGCUGCGGCCAUGUUCUUGAAGGAACUGGAAGGUGCAGCUUGUCCAAAAGUUGCUGCUUGGCGAUCUCCACCAUCAGCCUCUCCUCCGCGUCCCUCCCCAAGGACCGGGAGCCGCAGGAAGCGCAACCCGGAGGGCCACCGCUUACCCAGAGACCCCCAGAAAGCAACGGGACCAAAAAUAGAAAUGUCCUGGUCUGCAGCUGGAGAGUUGCGUGAUGCCUCGGUGUCCUGAUGGUGAAGAUAUCUAAUGUGGGGUAAUCCACCAAAAGUGGUGACACGUUGGACGGACGCACCAAUAAGCGCACCGGGGCACCGUGUGAGGAAUUUUGCUGGCAGCGCAUCUGCAGACGUGAGCACGUACUUAUAAGCGGACAUGCGGGAAAGGCAAUGUGGAUGUCUGAUUGGCGCUGACCCGAGAACGUAUAGGGACAACUACGAGCGUGUGCGUCCGCUUUAGGGAAAGUACACAGUGCAAGAGUUGCCCCUCACACGUGGGGUGAACAGCUAUCACUUAAAUGCGCAGAAAACGUGACAUCCCCUCAGGCGGCCAAAGUUGAAUUGAGGUGCCCCUUCACCCACUUUCAGCUCGGCAUAAUGUCAGGUGGACGUCAUCCAUACGUCUCUAAUCAUAACCGGCAAUUAAAUGCAAUUUAGUGGUUUAUAUUCCCCCAAAGUUUGUCCACAUUUAGCCGUAUAUGCUUAAUUGUUCAAUUGUUGUACGAUAUCAGGCGCAUUUAAGUCGUUAGAAAGCGUACCAAAACUAAAUCAGCUUACCUGCUUGUGGAAGCUUUCUGCAUGCUUUAUACAUUUAAAAAAUGCAUGUUUUAGCAUAUUGUAUUACAAUAAUGAGUGUGUGAUGCACAUUCUCAUUAAAAAACGUUCGUAUUUGCUGAAAGUAUGGUUAAAAAGUGCAAUGGUAUUAUAUCGUUUUAAAUAUUCGUGCCCAGUACAAACGUUGAUGAAGACGUGUAGUGCAUGACUGCCAAUGUGUGGAGUUUCUAUGUAACUACAAUCCUUUCUUUUCACUUCAGGCAGGAAGGUCACUUUUUAAUUUGUAAUGUUUCGUUUUGUUUGUUUGUUCAAACACCACGCCACACGUAAAACGACAUGUUUUCAAGACCACUGCGGUGGAGUUACCAUGUAAAAGCUUACUCUUAGCAAUAAACAUUCAAUAUGCCGUAAAUGAGCCUUUCAAGGAGUGUUUCUCAAACCUUUUUACAAGCAAGUACUGUCUCAAGAAAAUCUUGGCUCGCAAAUACCAACUUCAACAACAUAAAAAACAUUAGAAUAGGAGGCCGAAAUCCUUCCAUCCAUCCAUUUUUAGAAUUCGCUUAUCCUCACAAGGGUCGCGGGCGGCCUGGAGCCUAUCCCGGCCGUCUUCGGGCAGUCGGUGGGGGACACCCUUGAUCUCAUUGCCAGCCAAUAGUAGGCAUAUGUGUUCAUCAAAAAUGAGGCAGUAUUUAUUCCUAAAACGUAUAUCUAUUAUGAUUGUAAGCUACUAUUAUGUAGUAUUACACAAGUCAAGUCAAGUCAACAGUAUUUAUAGAGCACUUUCAAACAGCCAUCGCUGCAUACAAAGUGCUGUACAUGGAGCGAUUUAACAUGCACAAUAAACAGUAAGACAAAUCGGUAAUAAAGGCGGUAGAAAACACCAGACAGUAAAAUCAAGAACAAAUAAACAAACAGUUUAAACAUUACCAAACAUUACCACUGCUCUUAUAGGGAAAGAAAAAAAAAGGAAAAAAGCACAUUAUUGCAUUUUUGUAUAUAAUAACACCAGCGACAAAGGCGUAGGCUUCACCGGUCAUUUUCAUGUCAUGUGUUCUUAUUGGUUCUGCGGCACAAAGCUUCAUGGUCACCGUAGGUCACAAUGCUGCGUUCAGCAUGAUGGUGACGAUAUCGUGGCGAUUUUAAUGCUGCAAUAUCCCGUUAUCGUGACAUCCCUCCUUGCGAUACAAGCAAAAUUUGAGACGCAAGUGCGUUCAGACUCCAACCACCAGAAGGUGGCAGCAAACUUCACAACAUCCAGCCACCAUCAAUGGACUCUAUGCACACACCAUUUCCACGUUUGGAGUGCUACGGCGGGGUAGUUUCCGGUUGCCAAGGCAACUUUGAGCGAAAACAAUGACAACAUCAGGCUCUUCAAAAUAUAGCCAUUGUCUACCAGAAUGAUGUCAAGUUACCAAAAAUGACAUAUACCUUUCUAAUUGCGCUAGCGUGUACACACACUUGCACGCGUUUUGAGAUGGUUAUAUCAAGUUUGUUUAUCCAUGCAUCCAUUUUCCGAACCGCUUAAUCGUCACUAGGGUCGUGGGGGGUGCUGGUGCCUAUCCCAGCCGUCUUCGGGCAGUAGGCACCCUGAAUCAGUUGCCAGCCAAUCGCAGGGCACACAGAGACGAACAACCAUCCAUGCUCACAUUCACACCUAGGGACAAUUUAAAGUGCUCAAACAGCCUGCCAUGCAUGUUUUUGGAAUGUGGGAGGAAACCGGAGUACCCGGAGAAAACCCACGCAGGACCGGGGAGAACAAACUCCACACAAGGAGGCCGGAGCUGGUAUUGAACCCACGACCUUAGCACUGUGAGGUUGACUUGAACCUUGAACUGCCACCCAUUCGUUGUUUCAUUGUGAAAUAGUUUCGGCGAAUUUAUAAGCAGUCUUUCCUCUUUGUUGUAGUAGCGGCUCACUGUAAACCAGUUUCACUAAAAAGCUGGGUUGAUGAACACAAAUGCUUGUUUGCAUAUGUAUAUGGACAACAACAACAUCCAACAUCUCUGUGAGUGCAGAAGAGCGCAACACUGAGGACAACGAAGAUCCUACGCAGAGCCCUCAAGAUCCCAGGCAUGAAGGAGAUACCGCCCAGGUGGGCAAGGAAACGGAACAGCGAGGUCAAUUCCUUUGUUUUUGUUGGAUACUGAAGACAUAUGGAAUUCGGAUCAAAAGAUGUGCAUAACACAAAAGCUUUAAAUCACUGCUUUUAUUUCAUGGUAUUUACAUCUUGAUGUGUUAACUCAGGACAGAGUAUCUUUUGUUUGAAGCCACCCUCUUUUCAAGCGAGCGAAAGUAUUGGAACAUGUGAUGGAUGGGUGUUUCUAGUUGCUCAGAUGUUGCCUUUGAGAGUGAUUGCUUAAACAUUAGAGAGUACUUGUUUUUGCUUUGAGUUUCGUCCGUGAAAACUAGAUGUACUGUCAAGCAAAAAGACCAAAAAGCUGUCUAUGGGAGAAAAGCAAAUUUAUUUGAAACAGAAGAGAGAAAAUCGAUCAGAGCUAUAGCACCAACAUUGGGCAUAACCACAAUCAACACAACAAUUUGGAAUGUCCUGAAAAGGAAGACACUUCUGGUGCUCUUAGCGAAAGACAUUGAACAGGCCGGCCAAGUGUAUCAACAGACGUCAGUGACAUCAUUGCCAACAGGGCAGGGUUGUAGGUAUCAUAAGCCACUGUUCAAAGACGACAUUGAGAGGAGAAACAUACAGGCCAUACCACAAAUGCAAAUCGCUUAUCUGCAAAUAAAUAAAUAAAUAAACAAAUACAAAUACAAAUACAAACAAACAAAGUGUUAGAACAAAGUUUUGCGGACUGAUGAGACCAAAAUGAACUUCUAUUGAAGUGAUGGAAAGGCCAAUGUAUGGAGACGGAAAGCUCCAGGCAAUCAUCUCAUACGGUUUAGCCAUAGUUCAUACGGAUUUUGUGGUGAAUCUUACGUAUAUGGCCGUAUCGCACAAAUCAUACGGAUUCUGAAAAUUUCCGCCAAACUCCAAUUGAUUUGGAGUUGGUGAAAAAAGUAACACAGGAAUACAACUCUGAACACAGUAAUGCCACUAAGUAGAAUGAUGAUUAGACAUUAACCGGACAUUGUAUUAUGGAGAUCUACAAUAAAUAUCAUCGAAAAUUU